rnacentral:rRNA from 1 species
AUGCUUCUCCUAAAGACUAAGCCAUGCAUGCUCUGAAUAUGAGGAAGCAAUUCUCUCUGAAUCUGCGAACGGCUCCGCAAACCAGUUGUAAACCAAAGCAAGCUUGCUCGGGUUGGGCUUCGGCCUGGCCUGGGUGAUACGGAUAACCCUGGUAAUUCUGAGGCUAAUACGUGUAUGGAACACCCGGUGGACCGGCCUCACGGCUGGGAUAUCGGGAGACGAGUGAUGGAAUGUUUGGAUUACCAGGAACGGGCA